rnacentral:rRNA from 1 species
GACAGAGGAUGCAAGCGUUAUCCGGAAUGAUUGGGCGUAAAGCGUCUGUAGGUGGCUUUUAAGUCCGUCCGUCAAAUCCCAGGGCUCAACCCUGGACAGGCGGUGGAAACUACCAAGCUGGAGUACGGUAGGGGCAGAGGGAAUUUCCGGUGGAGCGGUGAAAUGCGUAGAGGAUCGGAAAGAACACCAACGGCGAAAGCAACUCUGCUGGGCCGACACUGACACUGAGAGACGAAAGCUAGGGGAGCGAAAUGGG